ACGAACGCUGGCGGCAGGCUUAACACAUGCAAGUCGAACGAUGUAGCAAUACAUAGUGGCGCACGGGUGAGUAACGCGUGGGAAUGUACCUUUUAGUUCGGAAUAACUGCGGGAAACUGCAGCUAAUACCGUAUACGCCCUCAGGGGGAAAGAUUUAUCGCUAAAAGAUCAGCCCGCGUUAGAUUAGCUAGUUGGUAAGGUAAUGGCUUACCAAGGCUCCGAUCUAUAGCUGGUCUGAGAGGACGACCAGCCACACUGGAACUGAGACACGGUCCAGACUCCUACGGGAGGCAGCAGUGGGGAAUAUUGGACAAUGGGGGAAACCCUGAUCCAGCCAUGCCGCGUGAGUGAUGAAGGCCUUAGGGUUGUAAAGCUCUUUUACCAGGGAAGAUAAUGACGGUACCUGGAGAAUAAGCACCGGCUAACUUCGU
rnacentral:rRNA from 1 species